UAGCUACAGGCUUAACACAUGCAAGUCGAGGGGCAGCAUGGUCUUAGCUUGCUAAGGCCGAUGGCGACCGGCGCACGGGUGAGUAACGCGUAUCCAACCUGCCUUACACUCUUGGACAGCCUUCUGAAAGGGAGAUUAAUACAAGAUGUUAUCAUGAGUAAGCAUUUUCGCAUGAUUAAAGGUUUACCGGUGUAAGAUGGGGAUGCGUUCCAUUAGAUAGUAGGCGGGGUAACGGCCCACCUAGUCUUCGAUGGAUAGGGGUUCUGAGAGGAAGGUCCCCCACAUUGGAACUGAGACACGGUCCAAACUCCUACGGGAGGCAGCAGUGAGGAAUAUUGGUCAAUGGACGAGAGUCUGAACCAGCCAAGUAGCGUGAAGGAUGAAGGUUCUAUGGAUUGUAAACUUCUUUUAUACGGGAAUAAACGAAUCCACGUGUGGAUUUUUGCAUGUACCGUAUGAAUAAGGAUCGGCUAACUCCGUGCCAGCAGCCGCGGUAAUACGGAGGAUCCGAGCGUUAUCCGGAUUUAUUGGGUUUAAAGGGAGCGUAGAUGGGUUGUUAAGUCAGUUGUGAAAGUUUGCGGCUCAACCGUAAAAUUGCAAUUGAUACUGGCAGUCUUGAGUACAGUUGAGGUAGGCGGAAUUCGUGGUGUAGCGGUGAAAUGCUUAGAUAUCACGAAGAACUCCGAUUGCGAAGGCAGCUUACUAACCUGUAACUGACAUUGAUGCUCGAAAGUGUGGGUAUCAAACAGGAUUAGAUACCCUGGUAGUCCACACGGUAAACGAUGAAUACUCGCUGUAGGCGAUAUACAGUCUGCGGCCAAGCGAAAGCAUUAAGUAUUCCACCUGGGGAGUACGCCGGCAACGGUGAAACUCAAAGGAAUUGACGGGGGCCCGCACAAGCGGAGGAACAUGUGGUUUAAUUCGAUGAUACGCGAGGAACCUUACCCGGGCUUAAAUUGCAACCGAAUAUGGCGGAAACGCUAUAGCUAGCAAUAGCGGUUGUGAAGGUGCUGCAUGGUUGUCGUCAGCUCGUGCCGUGAGGUGUCGGCUUAAGUGCCAUAACGAGCGCAACCCUUGCCGAUAGUUACUAACAGGUCAUGCUGAGGACUCUGUCGGGACUGCCAUCGUAAGAUGUGAGGAAGGUGGGGAUGACGUCAAAUCAGCACGGCCCUUACGUCCGGGGCUACACACGUGUUACAAUGGGGGGUACAGAGGGCUGCUACCACGCAAGUGGAUGCCAAUCCCAAAAACCUCUCUCAGUUCGGAUUGAAGUCUGCAACCCGACUUCAUGAAGCUGGAUUCGCUAGUAAUCGCGCAUCAGCCACGGCGCGGUGAAUACGUUCCCGGGCCUUGUACGCACCGCCCGUCAAGCCAUGGGAGCCGGGGGUACCUGAAGUGCGUAACCGCAAGGAGCGCCCUAGGGUAAAACUGGUGACUGGGGCU
rnacentral:rRNA from 1 species